rnacentral:rRNA from 1 species
UACCAGACUCCUACGGGAGGCAGCAGUGGGGAAUAUUGCACAAUGGGGGAAACCCUGAUGCAGCGACGCCGCGUGAGCGAUGAAGUAUUUCGGUAUGUAAAGCUCUAUCAGCAGGGAAGAAAAUGACGGUACCUGACUAAGAAGCCCCGGCUAACUACGUGCCAGCAGCCGCGGUAAUACGUAGGGGGCAAGCGUUAUCCGGAUUUACUGGGUGUAAAGGGAGCGUAGACGGCGAUGCAAGCCAGAUGUGAAAGCCCGGGGCUCAACCCCGGGACUGCAUUUGGAACUGUAUAGCUAGAGUGUCGGAGAGGCAGGCGGAAUUCCUAGUGUAGCGGUGAAAUGCGUAGAUAUUAGGAGGAACACCAGCGGCGAAGGCGGCCUUCUGGGCCACGACUGACGCUGAGGCGCGAAAGCUAGGGGAGCGAACAGGAUUAGAUACCCCUGUAU